UGGGCUAGCGAGGAACCCUGGUGCCCCAUUUAAAAGGUGAAUCAGGGGGUUGAUUUUGAUGAGAGCUCAGGAUUCACAUGACCCAGCUGCUAAAACCUGAAAUAAAGCCAGCCGGGGUGAGCACACCCUGGUGCCUCCUCCACUCCCUGCUCUGGAGCACCCAAACUCCUUUAAAAGCCUUUUGAAGGCUGUGCUCUGAUGAAGAUGUGACUUGGAGGAAGCCUGUCCCAUUCCAACCGGGCUGGCAGCACUGGGGUGAGGCAGGUGCAGCCACCCAGAACCUUCUGGAAGAGCCGCCGAGGAGGCAGAGGUGAGGAAGUUUUCAUGCCAUUUCAGAAGGAAAAAGGAAAAUCACAGGAUCCUAACUUUCUCUUACAUGGAAAACCUGGUUUCUACCUUCUGCCUAAGGUCUUCAGAGGAUACAACCAGGGUUGUAGAGGAAACCUUGGAAAGUGUCUCAAGAAGGUUUUGCCCAGGCCAUGGAUUCUGCUGUGUACCUCAGUAAUUGGCAGCAGUUUAAGGAUAACUUGAAAAGCAUCUCUAUGCUGGAGCAUGUUGCAGAGAAUUUAGAGGGAUUCAGGAUACUGAAGUGAGUCUGGAGAGAAUGCACAACCUGUAACAAGAAAUGCAAAAAGAUAUAUGGAUAAAUAAGCCAUUGAGAAGCAGAUUCAGCAUGACUUCUCUGAAAGGAAAUCCUGCCCUGUCUAUAAACUCCUUCAAAGGAAGUAAAGGUCCAAUGGAUACAAUCGAAUUGGAUUUCCAAAGCAGUUGACAAGAGUGUCUUAGCAAAGGCUCACAGAAAAGAAAGGUGCUUUUAUGGUUGCUCUCCUUAAUUGGGUAAGAGAUAAGAAACAGAAGAGAGUCUGUAAUUGAGAGAAGGGGAAAUUGAGGCAAACAGAGAAAGGACAAAAGUUUGCUGAUGAGAUUUAAAGCCUUCAGGGUAAGGGUGUUAAAACAAUUCAACCAAACUGGGGCUGUCUGCAGCAGGACCUUAUGAAGCUGAAUACACAGUUGUAAAAAUAACAUCUAAUGAUGUCUGUGAGUAUAAAAUUAUGUACAUAGCAAAAAAACCAAAAAACAAAAACAGAGCUAAAUUUAUACAAAUGGGUGGGUUAUGAAUGAAGUGUUGCCUUUCAGAAGAGAAAUGUUAGAAUAAAGUAGUUUAGAAAUAGAUUGGUUUACUUUAGUGCUCAUGAACAGUUCAAAUAGUAAACAGAACUAUAAUGAAAAGAAAAAAAAGAGGGGAAAAAAAAGGCAAAUUAAAAGUAAAUAUGAUGACCUGCUUUUUGAGAGUGUUGUGUAGCUCAU